CCCCGGGAAGGCUUCAACCCCGAUCUCCCGCUCCAGGCACGGCCGCCGGGCAAAGCGCUCCGGCCCCAGCGCUGCGGUGGCUUCCAGGUCGCUCGGUCAGGUUUUGUGAUCCUCCUCCUCGUAUUGGGGCGUCCAUAACGAGGAGGCCUGUUCGAGGUGCCGUGCGGUGAGAGCUGGUUGGAAGGCUGUGAGGCGCCAGCGCAGUCGGGGUGUGCUGUGGGAUCACGGUAAAACAAGUGUUCCCUGGGGCCGGGAGGGAUUGUCACGGAAUCCCGGCAUCUCAGAAGAGUUCGAGUUGGGAGGGACCUUUGGAGACCAUCCAGCCCAAGGCAGGGUCACCUGGAGCAGGUGAUACAGGAGCUUGCCCAGGUGUUCCAACAGUACCUGCCAUUCCCAAAGAAGAGAUCUGCUGACAGACAUCCCUGCCUUUGUGUGCUGUGAGCUUCGUGCCACUGCAGUUAAUGCCAGCUGAGGAUUAAACCUGGAGAGCUGUAGUUUUCCAACUUCCAUAAUCCCACUGCUGUUAAAGAAAAGGUUCAGGAAUCAAGCUGUCACUUUAGGUUUCCACAGCUGUAGAUAGAAGUGUGUCCAUGAAUAUCAGGCACUCAUGGCACAAAUAUUCCUGUGCUGGAAUGAUAAUUUAUUUACCUUGGUGACCAGUCCCUGCUCUGCACCAAAGUACAUUGUUUCCUAGACUUCUGCAUCAGUAAUUCCACUGUUUCUCUUGAGGGAACUGAGGAAAAGUGUGCUUUGUGUUCUACAACUAUUUUCUGUAUGGGGAGGUUGGACUGGGUGAUUCUGUGUUCACUGAACCAAGAUUUUGCCUCCUGAUCACAUGGCUUUCCAGUGGAAAAAUGAAGGCAAUUAAAAACUCAGUGGUUUUAGGUGUGUGGUAC